AUGAGUAAAAGAAACAAGACAUUGAAUUCAUUUUUUCAAGUUCGAACCACGGAAACUGCAGAAACAGGUCCUUCAACUCGAACAACUGAUAAUGCCCCUAGUGUUACGGCUCAACUUAAACCUGGUGAUAUUGAAUCAGACCCUGGUAAGAGAAUACCAAUUGAGGAUUUGGAUGCAGACAUUAGAGAUCUUGCUAGAAGGGAGUACAUUAGUAUGGGUCCAUGUCAACCAACUGAUCAUACAUAUGAGCAGAUAAAUGGUAGAAGCAUUCAUGAUUACUGGUAUAAUGAUCAUCGCGGCUGGUUGGAAUAUAGCAUUGAAAAAAAGCAGCCUUUUGCUUUUAUUGUUUUCUAUUUAAGCAACCAAGAGCUGCAAACUAUGGUGUUGAGGCGUUCACGAAAAAUGGAUUUAAAUCUUGGAAGGAUGGACCUAAAGUUUUUAAUCAACAUGUUGGCAAGCAUGAUAGUGCUCAUAAUAAAUCUAGACAACAUUAUGAUGAUUUCAAAAAUCAAAGACAAAAUUUGCCACAUGUGUUUGAUAGGGGUUCUAAGAAGAGAGAAGAAGAAUACAAAGCUCGUCUCUUCAUUAUAUUGGGUAUUGUCAAAUUUUUGA
rnacentral:rRNA from 1 species